rnacentral:rRNA from 1 species
AGAGUUUGAUCAUGGCUCAGAUUGAACGCUGGCAGCAGGCUUAACACAUGCAAGUCGAGCGGGGUGAGGUACUUCGGUACUGAUCCUAGCGGCGGACGGGUGAGUAAUGCUUAGGAAUCUGCCAUUUAGUGGGGGACAACAUUCCGAAAGGAAUGCUAAUACCGCAUACGUCCUACGGGAGAAAGCAGGGGAUCUUCGGACCUUGCGCUAAAUGAUGAGCCUAAGUCGGAUUAGCUAGUUGGUGGGGUAAAGGCCUACCAAGGCGACGAUCUGUAGCGGGUCUGAGAGGAUGAUCAGCCACACUGGGACUGAGACACGGCCCAGACUCCUACGGGAGGCAGCAGUGGGGAAUAUUGGACAAUGGGCGAAAGCCUGAUCCAGCAAUGCCGCGUGAGUGAUGAAGGCCUUAGGGUUGUAAAGCUCUUUUACCCGGGAUGAUAAUGACAGUACCGGGAGAAUAAGCUCCGGCUAACUCCGUG